CACCUGAUCGAGAAGCUGCCUGGGAGCGUGGGGGACAAGGCACCGCCCGCCGAUGUCAUCGUGAACAUCAUCGCCGUGCUCAACAACCUGGUGGUGGAGAGCCCCAUGGCUGCCCGCGACAUCGUCUACUUCGACGGCCUCAGGAAGCUCUUCUUCAUCAAGAAGCGACGGGACAGCUCGGACAAUGAGAAGUCCUCCCGAGCCGCAGCCAGCCUCCUGGGAAACAUGUGGCAGUACACCAAGCUCCACCGGGACUUCAAGAUGAAGGGGUACCGGAAGGAGGACUUCCUCAGCCUGUGAGGACACCCUGGGAGCUGGAAUGCCCUGCUGGGAUGCUCCGUGCUGCCGGCCAUGCCCUGGGGAGGCUGCUCGCCAUCAGACCCCCCCUCUGUAGCCUAGUCCCCACCACAUCCCAUGCGCCUCCCCCUCUGCUGGGUCCCCUUCCCCUGCUGAGGGACACGUGUCCUCCCUCCUGCCCAGCCUUAAACCCAGAGGCUGCUUUUGGCUCUGCUGUGGGGCCCCACAGGGACCCCGUUAGUAGGGGUCUGCCUCACAGCACCCCCUGGGGACCCUCCCCACCCUCAGGCAGCUGGCUGCAAAACUUGGCUUGUCCCGCAUCUUGACAGAGGGGCAGGAACCACAGGGAUUUGGGAAGGCUCCUGUAGAGCAACGCUGGGUCAGGGGGGCUUUCAGGGCUGCUUCAUCCCAGCUCCCUGAGCUGGGUGGGUGUCGGUGCCCCGCACCAGUGUGGGAUGUGCUGUGGAAUACGUGUGCUAUGCCCCAGCUGGGUGGGGACGGGGCUUUGCAUGGCUUGAGGGGCUUAGAGGGCUCUGAGGUGGCUUCCCACAGUUAAUAGGGUGGCAC